rnacentral:lncRNA from 1 species
UACUAAACAUAUGGAACUCACUCGUUCCAUGCCCCCCCAGAUAAGGAAGAAAAUGAGAAACCGCCAACUGACCUACCCAUUGAAGUUUAUGAGAAUCCUGUGGAUCCGCAAAACUUGAGUGCAUGAUCGUUCUCAUACUCUGAUGAGUCCAAUAGCAUAGUAAAAGAAGUGGCCCUCGUUUGUAUUUUGACUUUUAUAUUUUGUAGCCAC